UAGUUUCAUAGAUAAAUGUGGUUUUGGGAGAUUUCUGCUGCUCUACUCAUGCCGCCAUCUUGGCUCCGCCUUCUUGUGAGGUGGUGGGUCUGUGAGCUGGCCAGCCUUUUCUUUCACUGAGCACCAGCGGGUCUUUUGGAGAUAGCAUCUGGGGCAGAACUGAACCCAACAGUUGGGCCCUCCAGAACCUUGGCAGUAGGCAGCAGGAAAACUUUGGCUGUCUUUUUAGUCUCUUCCCCAGGCUUCUCAUGAGGAAUGUCCAGUAUCCCUUUCAAGGUCCCGGCUAUGGAUUGCACAACUCCGGUAGCCAGGCGGAGUCUGGACGUAGGCGGAGCCGCGGCAGGGGCGAGAAUGCCCCGCUGCAGACGCCACAGGAAGCCCCGAGUUUCCGAGUAGCCCAUCAGCAGAAUUUUUAACUGGGUUGCUUGUUUUCUUAUUGUUGAAUUUUACGGCUCUUUGUAUACUUUGUAUAAUAGUCCUUUUUCCGAUUUAUCUUUCAUAAAUAUUUUCUCCUAGUCUGUCGUUUGUCUUCUCAUUCUCUUCAGUGUCUCUUGCAGAGCAGAAGUCUUUUAUUUUAAUGAAGCCCAGCUUACCAAUUAUUUCUUUCAUGACCAUGCCUUUGGUGUUGGAUCUUAAAAGUCAUCACCAUACCCAAGGUCACCUUGAGUUUCUCCUAUGUUAUCUUCUAAAAGUUUUGUAAUUUUGCGUUUUACAUUUAGAUCUUUAAUCCAUUUUUAUUUAAUUCUUAUGAAGCACGUAAAGUAUGUAUCUAGGUUUAUUUUUUUUGUAUGUGGAUGUCCAGGUGUUCCAGCACCAUUUAUUGAAAAGACUCAUCUUAACUCCAUUGUAUAACCUUUGCUCCUUUAUCAAAGAUCAGUCAACUGUAUUUAUGUGAGCCUGUUUUAGGGCUCUGUAUUCUGUUCUACUUAGGUAUUUGCCUGUUCUUUCACCAAUACCACAUGGUCUUGAUUACUGUAGCUUUAUAGUGAGCCUUGAAGUUGGGUAGUGUUAGUACUCCAACAUUGUUCUUCAAUGUUUUGUUGGCUAAUCUUGGUCUUUUGCCUCUUCAUAUAAACUUUAGAAUUUGUCAAUAUCUACAAAUAACUUGCUGGGAUUUUGAUUGGUAAGGCUUUGAAUCUAUAAAUCAAGUUGAGAAUGACAUAUUAGGAUAUAGUUUUAAGAUUCCAUCUAUCUGGCAAGUUUGUUCAUAGAAUGGUACAGAAUUAAAAGGAUGCCCAUAAUCUCUGUUCUUAUGUGGAAAAUCAAGUUUAUCCAAGUGGAUGGAGAAACAGUCAGAAUAAUGACAACUACCCUCUGGCCAUCAAAUAAAAUGAUCCAAAUGUAGAGCUGAUUUGUUUUAAUUGUUUGAAGAGGUCCUGUUUUCUUCAUUUCUGCUUUCAGGCUAAGGAAAAAGCCUUUUUGACUCAUUAUCAUGUCAUAUAUCUCGUUUUCCAUUGAUACUCUUUGGGCAUCAUUGGAAACAAGGUGAGUCAGAUACUCUCCUGGCCCUGUAAAAAUCUACAAUCUAGGAGGGGAAAUAAUGGUAUAAACACACCUGUAGUAAAAGUUUUCCUCUAUCAUCAGGCCCUCGACUUAGGUCUAGUACUAGUGGCACCAGCUCCCUCUCCCGCUACCCCAACCACAGACUGAAUCUUCCUGAUGGCCUUACAAUCAAUUUCAAAGGGGCCAUACUGAAGGAUGAAUACAAGGUGCUCAUCUCUGGUGUGCCUUCACUGGAACUUAACUCAGGAUGGAAAAGCAGCAGGUAUUGCUUGAAAAUAUGUUUCUUCCUGUUCUGCCUCUACCCAUAUUUACAAGGAUUUCUCACACAGUUCACUGAGGCAGUGAGACAGACAUCCUCAUCUCCUGAACAGAGGAGAACUGUUAAAAAAACAAAAAACUCAACCUAUUAAAAAUAUUCAGUCAUUAUUUAUGAUGUUUGCUGUCUUUUUUAUUAUAGAAACUCAACAGGUAAGGACAUCCCGUUCUGUUCCUAAUUUGUUUGUUUUUUGCUUUUUAUCAUGAAAAGGUAUUGAAUUUUACUACUUUUCUGUAUCUUGCCACAUACACUUAUUCUCUUUUAAAAACUACUCCUGCAUUUCUGAAGCCCUGCUUGAUCAUGCUGUGUAAUUCCUUCAUUUAUAUGUUUAAUUCGAUCCACUGAAAUUAUGCUUAGGAUCUUUGCAUGAAUAAAAUUGACUUGUAAUUCUUCUUUCCAAGAUAGCCAGAAAGCAAAUCACUUAAUUUCUCAUCCACCUACCUAAUUCCACAUCCCGAGACAACAGCAGAGAUGAAAAAAAAAUAACAGAAGCCAGAACAUUCCAAUUUGGACAAAACAGGAACUGUACACAGGUAAGUAUAGAAAGGCAAAAAAUCACUUACUGAAAUGAACAAAUCUCAGUCCACUCCAUUCUUACCAAAAACAAUCUCAGCCUUACCGAGGAUUCUAACAGCAGAAGUCUUCUCUGGUGCUGCAUCUUGAAAACAACUGCAUUCAUGCCAGGUCUCAGGGCGUUUACAGGGAACCCAUUCUAAUAAGCCUUCUAACUACUCUGUUCUCACCGCAACUGAAGUUACCAAGUCCCUCUGCAAACACUCCAAGUUCUCAGUGACCCACAGGAAAGCAGGCAA